rfam:Ophiophagus hannah scaffold393.1, whole genome shotgun sequence.
CAUCUCUGCCCUACUAUUAGAAAUGCAAAGACUAAAAACACGUUUCAAAUAGCGCUCUGUGCUGCCAAUGAUGUAUCAACGCCCUAUGCCAUUACUCUUUUCUAAAUGUGAUAAUAAUGUGAUCUGUUAACAUAAAAAAAGUUUGAUGCCACAAAGCAGCUGGAAAUGGACAACUGAAAUAUGCAUAUAUCUAACUCAUAUCAUCAAAUGCACAGUUUGAUAUAUGUUGUUAAAAGCCUUUCAUGUCUUUCUGUUCUUCUCAAGCAAAAAUAGCAGC